rnacentral:rRNA from 1 species
UACGGAGGGGGCUAGCGUUGUUCGGAAUUACUGGGCGUAAAGGGCGCGUAGGCGGUUUACCAAGUCAGGCGUGAAAGGCCUGGGCUCAACCCGGGAACUGCGCUUGAUACUUGUAGACUUGAGUCCGGGAGAGGAUGGCGGAAUUCCCCAGUGUAGAGGUGAAAUUCGUAGAUAUUGGGAAGAACACCGGUGGCGAAGGCGGCCAUCUGGACCGGAACUGACGCUGAGGCGCGAAAGCGUGGGGAGCAAAGCAGGAGUUAAGAA